GACGAACGCUGGCGGCGUGCCUAAUACAUGCAAGUUGAGCGCUGAAGGUUGGUACUUGUACCGACUGGAUGAGCAGCGAACGGGUGAGUAACGCGUGGGGAAUCUGCCUUUGAGCGGGGACAACAUUUGGAAACGAAUGCUAAUACCGCAUAAAAACUUUAAACACAAGUUUUAAGUUUGAAAGAUGCAAUUGCAUCACUCAAAGAUGAUCCCGCGUUGUAUUAGCUAGUUGGUGAGGUAAAGGCUCACCAAGGCGAUGAUACAUAGCCGACCUGAGAGGGUGAUCGGCCACAUUGGGACUGAGACACGGCCCAAACUCCUACGGGAGGCAGCAGUAGGGAAUCUUCGGCAAUGGACGAAAGUCUGACCGAGCAACGCCGCGUGAGUGAAGAAGGUUUUCGGAUCGUAAAACUCUGUUGGUAGAGAAGAACGUUGGUGAGAGUGGAAAGCUCAUCAAGUGACGGUAACUACCCAGAAAGGGACGGCUAACUACGUG
rnacentral:rRNA from 1 species